rnacentral:rRNA from 1 species
UAGUGGCAGACGGGUGAGUAAUGCAUAGGAAUCUGCCCAGUAGUAUGGGAUAGCCACUAGAAAUGGUGGGUAAUACUGUAUACGCCCUGCGGGGGAAAGAUUUAUCGCUACUGGAUGAGCCUAUGUUAGAUUAGCUAGUUGGUAGGGUAAAGGCCUACCAAGGCAGUGAUCUAUAGCUGGUCUGAGAGGAUGAUCAGCCACACUGGAACUGAGAUACGGUCCAGACUCCUACGGGAGGCAGCAGUGGGGAAUAUUGGACAAUGGGCGCAAGCCUGAUCCAGCUAUGCCGCGUGAGUGAGGAAGGCCUUAGGGUUGUAAAACUCUUUCAGCGGGGAAGAUAAUGACGGUACCCGCAGAAGAAGUCCCGGCAAACUCCGUGCCAGCAGCCGCGGUAAUACGGAGGGGGCAAGCGUUGUUCGGAAUUAUUGGGCGUAAAGGGCAUGUAGGCGGUUUGGUGAGU